rnacentral:rRNA from 1 species
CCUACGGGGGGCUGCAGUGGGGAAUAUUGGACAAUGGGGGCAACCCUGAUCCAGCCAUGCCGCGUGUGUGAAGAAGGCCCUCGGGUUGUAAAGCACUUUCAGUGAGGAAGAACGCCUGGUGGUUAAUACCCAUCAGGAAAGACAUCACUCACAGAAGAAGCACCGGCUAACUCCGUGCCAGCGGCCGCGGUAAUACGGAGGGUGCGAGCGUUAAUCGGAAUUACUGGGCGUAAAGCGCGCGUAGGUGGCUUGAUAAGCCGGUUGUGAAAGCCCCGGGCUCAACCUGGGAACGGCAUCCGGAACUGUCAAGCUAGAGUGCAGGAGAGGAAGGUAGAAUUCCCGGUGUAGCGGUGAAAUGCGUAGAGAUCGGGAGGAAUACCAGUGGCGAAGGCGGCCUUCUGGACUGACACUGACACUGAGGUGCGAAAGCGUGGGUAGCAAACAGGAUUAGAUACCCCGGUAGUC